AGAAAACCUAAGAGGAAGAAGGAGAGAGCUCAUGGAGAAAAGAGAUUUUCGUAUUCAUGGUGCAGCCCUCACAAAAUGGGUCAUAACUCUCUGCUCGUAACUCCAAAUCAGGUUCUCGAUGAGGGAGAUAAGCGAGUUUGAAGAUUGGGAAUUCUUGCUGAAAGUGAAGAAAAGGGCUUACGGGUUUGAUGGAGAAGAAGGGGAAAAGUCCAUAUUCUUGGCUAAGGUAAGGGGGGACUCUUCCGAUUAACAUCUAUUAUCGGGUUAUGGAUAAUAGGACUGAUAUAGAUAUAUUAUUUCAUGUCAAUUGAGUCGUAUGAUAGAGUUGGGAUUUUGGGGAUGUUUGUUGAUAAUUUUCUGUUUUGAUGAAUUUCCAUGAAUUUGGUGUUGUAUGAUGUUUGAUGAUGCAUAAUAUAUGUUAUAUGUGUGUAUGAUA